rnacentral:lncRNA from 1 species
CAUAGAUAACAAGUUGCCAUAACGUAACUGUAUGAAAAAUAUUUGGAAAAAUAAAUCCCAGAACUCUGUAUGCAUUACACCAAUUUGCUGAAACUGGGGACGCCAUAUUGUCUCGCAAAAAGAAAUAAAAGAAAAUUGGAAGUUGAGAUACACCGUGUAGCGUGUUUGAUAUUGAUAUUCCCGUUGCCUGAACUGUAGAUGCAGAUCGAUCGUCUUUAUCGUAAUUGAUGAGAGUAAUAUAUAGAAUAUUAAAACACAAUGUUAUGACGAUUACUGUAGGAGCA